rnacentral:rRNA from 1 species
UACGGGAGGCAGCAGUGGGGAAUAUUGGACAAUGGGCGAAAGCCUGAUCCAGCAAUACCGCGUGUGUGAAGAAGGCCUGAGGGUUGUAAAGCACUUUCAAUUGGGAGGAAUACCUNUGAGAUAAUAUCAGG